UACGUAGGGUGCGAGCGUUGUCCGGAAUUAUUGGGCGUAAAGAGCUUGUAGGCGGUUUGUCGCGUCUGCCGUGAAAAUUCGAGGCGUCAACCUCGAACUUGCGGUGGGUACGGGCAGACUAGAGUGUGGUAGGGGAGACUGGAAUUCCUGGUGUAGCGGUGGAAUGCGCAGAUAUCAGGAGGAACACCGGUGGCGAAGGCGGGUCUCUGGGCCGAAGUGAACGCUGAGGAGCGAAAGCGUGGGGAGCAAACAGG
rnacentral:rRNA from 1 species